GCCCGGGUGGCGAAAUUGGUAGACGCAAGGGACUUAAAAUCCCUCGGUGGCAACACCGUGCCGGUUCGACCCCGGCCCCGGGCACCA
rnacentral:tRNA from 1 species